CCACGCAGCCCGCGGCCGCCGCCAACCCCGCGAGCACGGAGAGCAGCCAGCCCACCGUCCAGAACUCCCAGUUUCUCUUAACGAGGUUAAAUGAUCCUAAAAUGUCUGAGACGGAGCGCCAGUCCAUGGAAAGCGAGCGCGCAGACCGCAGCCUGUUUGUCCAAGAGCUCCUUCUGUCCACUUUAGUGCGCGAAGAGAGCUCCUCCUCAGACGAGGAUGACCGGGGGGAGAUGGCAGAUUUUGGUGCUAUGGGCUGUGUAGAUAUUAUGCCUUUAGAUGUUGCUUUAGAAAACCUAAAUUUAAAAGAGAGUAAUAAAGGAAAUGAGCCUCCACCACCUCCUCUUUGAUGACAUCCCAAUUCGCAGACAAUGUCCUCUGUGCUGUAUUUGCCAAUGAAAGUGGACAACAACUAUCUUGGGUUUGUUUGGUGAUUGUAAUUUCAGGUCUGUCACUCUUGUUACAUUGUGUACAUUCAAAAGGAAGAGAGAAAAUAUAUAUGAUAAUCAUUUCCACUUAACUAAUUUUUACUUCUAGCAGGUAAAUGUAGGUAGCAGUGCAGGGGUGAUCUCUGCUUCCUGUACCUUGACAUGCAAAAGGCUCUCCUAAUACUCCACAUUCAAACUGAAGAGGAAAAUUGAAAUCUCUAAUGAAGCUGCUGUGUGUAUUUAUGAAUAUUAAUGAAUAAAAACUGCUUGGAUGGUUUACCUUAACUACUGCAUGAGGUUUUUUGCAGCGUGCAUGAGUUUUAGUGACCUUGUUAUUUAAAAAAUUAAAUACAAGGAGUAAAACUUAAACAAAAAUAAAAGCCCAAAGCUUUCCCAAACAUUAUUCAAUGGUUACACGGCAAGAGUCACGUGAUGAAGUAGCUCUUGAAUAAUGUCUGCCUGAACCACCUUUCUUUGUGUGCCUCCUACGCAUAAAGCCAGCUCUGCAGUGGAAUCUGGGAGUUGUAGCGGGUGUCGCGCUCCGCCCUGUGUGACUGUCCUGUCGCCCUGUUAAUUCUCUUUCCCACGUGGAGCUCAGCCUGUCUCUGUAACUCAUCUAGAAGACACACCAGUAACGCCACUGUUGGGAUCUGCUGCAGGGUGCGCGUGUGCCCUAAAAACAAAUCUGUUCAUGUUUGUUCCAAGUUUUUACUUUCCGUGGUUGUUUAAAAUUUUUUCAAUUGUUAAAUAUGUUUUAUUCAGGUGUAGAUGAAUUUCAUUUAUUCGCUGUUCAACAAAAUUAACCUGAAUUAUGUCGUCUUUGUUUUUGAAAAUCUCACAUUCUCAAUCAUAUCUGCAUUAUUUAUGUAUGUGCUUCAUAGUUGCUGAGACAGAUCAGUAUCAGGGGAGCUUGGAGGAUUUGCCUUCCCAGAUUUUGUCGAUAUAUUACAACCAAAUUCUUAAUGCUAACUGUAGCACCUUUUAUUUAUUGGUUUUUUUCAGGCAUAAAAAGUAAAGCCUUUUAAUUGAAUCAUGCCACCUAUAUGCCUAUAUUAUUAAUCCUAUGUGUAAAAAAAUUGUACAGCUUUUUGGGGUUUGGAGGGGCCGGGAUAUUUUUUAAUUUUCUGUUGCAGUUUUUGUGCAUAGACUUUCACAAUAGCUCCAAGGCAGGGACAGUGGGUUUGGGGUUUGGGGGGCAGUUUUUGGAAUGUAAAUUUAGGACUUUUAAAAAAAGGUGCGCACAGCUUCUGAUAAAUUUAUAAUAGACUUAACCUAAUCAUGUCUUGUUCCAGUUCCCGUCUCAGCCCUUUUCUCAGUCUCCUCUCCCUGAGCCCUCUUCCUUUCCCGUGUGUUUCUGUUUCUGCAACACAAGCAUAGAGACUUGAACACCCGCCGGUGUUCUUCCGAGAACUGUGAAGUCCAUGUCCAUCCAAAUGUAACCAAAAAAGAAGUCACCCCACAUGUCUAAAAACUGUCGCUUCUCCUCCUCUGCAACCUCAGACUCCAACAGUUUCCAGAUACGAUAGCUUUGUUCCCUUGAGUUCCUGUGACGGAAAUGUUCUGAAGGAGAGUCCUGCCGCAGGCGCCUGGCUAUCCCAGGCGUCCAGUCCAGUAGCGAGUUUCUUUUCCUCAAUUGGUGUUGAAACGUUUCCAAAACCAGUUUUCAAGCUGUGGUCUUUUCAAACACAUCUCUGCACAUAAGUCACACAUUUCAAUAAAGCAUUUUCAAGACUGUUGACCACUUGAAUUUAUUUGCUGUUGGUGAAUUAGCCUAACUAACCAUUGCUCAGAGAUUUUAUAUCUCGAAUCCAGUAUUUUUUCUUUUUAUGCUAAACGGAGAGGUCCUCAUUUUGUGUGAAUGCAUUACUUUGGAUGUGAGACAUAGAAAUUGCCAAUUAUAUGCUUUCCCUUUUCUGCACAAAUUCUGGGAAAAUGUAAGAUCCAUUUUUUAACGUGGUUUGAGGAAACAACCGUUUAAUUUAGGUGAUGAAUUGAACACUUCAGAGGACGUUAAAGGUUCAUAAGGUUCCAUCUCAUGUAGAAUACUGUAUAUUAAUUAUUUUUUACCAGCUAUUUUACAAAUACCUCACCUCAUCCUGUAUGUAAUCAAUAAUCAUGUAUUAGGGUAGAAAGACACAGACUAUCGAUAUAAAAAAUAUAUUUUAAGUC